rnacentral:rRNA from 1 species
GACGAACGCUGGCGGCGCGCUUAACACAUGCAAGUCGAGCGAUGAAAUUUCGACAGAUCCCUUCGGGGUGAAGAUGAAAUGGAUUAGCGGCGGACGGGUGAGUAACACGUGAGUAACCUGCCUUUGACAUUGGGAUAGCCUCGGGAAACUGGGAUUAAUACCAAAUGACACUAACUGAUCACAUGAUCAAUUAGUCAAAGAAAUUCGGUCAAAGAUGGACUCGCGGCUGAUUAGCUAGUUGGUGAGGUAACGGCCCACCAAGGCGACGAUCAGUAGCCGGGCUGAGAGGGUGGUCCGCCACAUUGGAACUGAGACACGGUCCAAACUCCUAGGGGAGGCAGCAGUGGGGAAUAUUGCACAAUGGGGGAAACCCUGAUGCAGCGACGCCGCGUGAGCGAAGAAGGCCUUCGGGUCGUAAAGCUCUUUUAUGAGGGAAGAUAAUGACGGUACCUCAAGAAAAAGCCCCGGCUAACUACGUG